rnacentral:sRNA from 1 species
GCUAGGCGUGGCGCACACCUGUAAUCCCAGCUACUCAGGAGGCUGAGGCAGGAGGAUCACAAGUUUGAGGCCAGCCUCGGCAAUUUAUUGAGACCCUAAGCAACUUAGUGAGAUCCUGUCUCAA